rnacentral:rRNA from 1 species
AGUGAACGCUGGCGGUAGGCCUAACACAUGCAAGUCGAACGGCAGCACAUUAAGCGCUUGCUCUUACGGGUGGCGAGUGGCGGACGGGUGAGGAAUACAUCGGAAUCUACUUUUUCGUGGGGUAUAACUUAGGUAAACUUACGCUAAUUCCGCAUACGACCUACGGGUGAAAGCAGUGGAUCUUCGUACCUUGCGCGAUUGAAUGAGCCGAUGUCGGAUUAGCUAGUUGGCGGGUAAAGGCCCACCAAGGCGACGAUCCGUAGCUUGUCUGAGAGGAUGAUCAGCCACACUGGAACUGAGACACGGUCCAGACUCCUACGGGAGGCAGCAGUGGGGAAUAUUGGAAAAUGGGCGCAAGCCUGAUCCAGCCAUACCGCGUGGGUGAAGAAGGCCUUCGGGUUGUAAAGCCCUUUUGUUGGGAAAGAAAAGCAGCAGGUUAAUAACCCGCUGUUAUGACGGUACCCAAAGAAUAAGCACCGGCUAACUUCGUG